ensembl:lncRNA
GUGACAGUGACAUGAAAUCAAAAUAGGAUAAAAUGUACCCAGGGUUAUUUCUCCUUUUGAAAAGUCCUUAUUGAGCUGCAACUAGAUUAACGUUGAAAGUACAUACUGCUUAUAUACAUAUUUCUGUACGUACACAUUUCACAGUUAACAUAUUAUUUACACGCAGCUAUCCGCAUCUCUCCUAUCCACCUGCCCACAACCGCUGAUCACAAAGCACAGCAGUCUCAGCCACCCACACACCCAUCUCCCGCAGCUCAGGGGACGUGAGGAGCUCCGUGCAGCACUGCACUCUGCCUGUAUGUUGCUGAGACAAACCCCUGCCUUGCAACAGGUGCAGCAAAAUGGGGGUUUUUAGGCCUAGCAGCAGGUCCAGCUCUGUGAGCAUCCCUCUGUCUCUAAGGGAAUGGCAAAGGGGUUAAUGGCAUCAAGAGCGACGGCACCGCUCAUCCCAACCCAAACUCAUCCAAACACAAUUUGCUAAACUGGGGCACUGAAAUGCUUCAGUAACAAUUUUAUUAAAAAUAACAAUAAUAAUUAUUAGGCACUGAUUUCCAAACAGGCAUUUUUAUCUAAAUUUCCCACUCUUAGCUUCUAUCACCCAAUUGAUUACAUGAAUGCACCAUUCCAGCACUGCUUCAGGAGGUACUGUGGCGUGCUGACAUUUCUUGCUAACAGUGAGCUGGAACAGAAAGUAAAUGUAGCUGCGGUGCUGCUGAGCUCACAGUGCAAAGGAAAGUUGCAGAAUGUAACAGCAGAACACAUCUCGAUCACAGAACAUAUCUCCAUCAGACAUAACUUAUUUUUCCUCUCCAUGAAAACUGUGAGGAAAUGCAGAACUCAGAAAAAUGGGUGCGAUUUUAAUAAGAAACGUCAAGGAUGGGUGACUAUAAAACGCUCCGUGAAUAAAAAAGGGGAGAGCGGAUGCCAGCAAAUAACGCACAGCCAAAUCUGUCCCUGAGAUGCGCAUCAGAGGAGAGACUGACGAGAGAAAAGCGGAGCGCACGGAACUUCCUAUUUGCUAUUUUGAACGGAAGGCGGACGCGCAGAGCUCGGUCACAGCCCACUUCCGACGGCCGCGAACUGUCACCGCGAGUGGGGGGGGAGUGGGGGGGGUCGGACGGGGCGGUCAAUGAGCGCUCCACGGGCGCCGGGGCAGAGCCGCGCAACGAAGAGCCCCUUCGGAAACCAAAUAAGAACACGAGGAAUGGGAAGACGAGCGCGCUGAAUGCGAACACAGCACUGCGUUCCCACGCCGCCGCGCUGCGCGUCCGGUUGCGCGGCCACCCCGCCCUGCGCGCCCCGGAGCUAUUGUUUUCUCCUGGAAAGAAACUACCAGUGGAUUAGAACACCUGCAUGAUCCUAAGCAUUAACGUCUCAACUGGAAAUGCACCUGAACUCCACUGCUUGCUUGUAAGGAGCUCAGAUCACCUCAUGUCACUUGCCUACCUGUUCAUCGCAGCUCUGCAAGUGUGAGGAAGGGUUGGCUUUUAUAUAAUACAUAUAUUAAAGAAGUUACUAGUGCUCCUUGAACUAAAGCAGAUGGACCUUUUCCUACUCCUCCAGUCCUUCAUAAGGUCUUUGGAACAAAGGUAACACAGAUCCCAGCACACUGCAGGCAGCACGCACCAUAGGAAAUGCUAGGCAGAACUUUCAAUUUUGUCUACCCAGGGUGACGAUAUUGUUCAAUGAGGAUAAUACAAACCUAUUCUUCAAUGAAAGGUAUCUGUUUGUUCCCAAAGCUGCAAAGAAUUCAGAAAAAAAAAAUGUACCUAUUGAAGACAAACCUAGUUAAGAUAAGCAACAAUCAACAUUCUUCAUUGCAUUUUACAAUGACACUCUUUGUGCAGCCCAUCUUGCAACAUGAAUCAGAACAGAAGGUUUUACAUGGGCAAAUCAGCAAGAACAGCUUAAAAUAAGAUUGUCCGUCCCUAUGUUCCUUUUUGGAAGAGUUUAUAAGCUUCAGGAGCUCUAAAAAUGCUUCUGCCAAAAAAGAUAAAUAGGCUUAACCAUUUUUAGAAGCACUGACAACACUAAUGCUUCAAACCAGACUGCACCUGACGUCCCUUUUGGCGAAUACAAGACCUCUAACUCUACAAAAAGCAGCAAGAUACUGUUGAAGACUGAACUCUAGAAUACGCUGAAGCAUCCAAUUUCAGUUCAUUUGAAGUACAUCUACAUUACAGUUUACCAACAUAGCUCAAAGCUAAGUUCACUUCUACAUGAAUUUACUUAGGAAAAGUGGCUUGUAGGAGCAUUAAUCAUGUGCUGUGCCACCCAACUUCCACACGCUAUGCUACAAGCAUUUAUCUACCUUUUCAAAAGGAGAUAAAACUCAACAGCCAACUGCAUUGCUCUUCUUCCACCAUGAACCCAACAAGAAGGUGGCAGCUGGAAGCAGGGUGGGCUAUAAGCUCCCUCCAUAGGAAUUUUACAGCAUAUGAAACAUAUGCUGCCCCGUUGUCAGGGCUCAGUGCCUUCUUUUAAAGUUAUCUGUCAAAACGUGCAACAUAUUUAAGAUGACAAAAAAAAAAAAAAAAAGAAGUAAUAAGCAUUUUAACUUAAUUUCAUCUGCAGAUAGUGCAGGGUAGGGACAAAAUGCUAAGCAUCUCCAAUUUAAGAGGAAUAUACUUCCAAUCUCUUUGGUGAGGGCGCAUCUCUGCAUUUCCACAGAUAAAUGGGUUCUAAAGGCACUCGCAACACCUGUCAGCAUGUCCCUCAACAUGCCCGUGACAGGCAAGCAGCUUCCACCCUGUCCUGAAGACUCACAGAUCAACUCACCAUUGCAAGUGCUAUGAACGAGGUUAUGUUUUAUUUAAACACAGAAGAAAAAAACCCAUCAAGUUUAAAAAAAUAAGAAAAAUGAAAAAAAAGGGGGGGAAGUAGUUUAACAAGAGCUGUCCUUGGCACAGAAAAGAGCUGAAAAGCAAGAGCUAUUCAAGAAGAAACUAGUUUCACCUUGUUUGAACUAGAAACUCUCUAUAGGAGUUAAGCAAACAAAGUUAUCCUUUCAAUAACCCCAACACCUGGAGCACAAGUAACCAGGCAAACAAACACAUUCAACAAUAUUUUGUCCUUCUGUAGCAUCUCUCAUCUGGGGCACCCAGAAUUUUCUGGUUACCAUUAGGAUGUAUUAUUUUUGGUUUUACACUCUAACAAAACCAGAAUACAGAUUUGAGUGCCAUGAGAGUUUACGAAUUGCUCGACUUAGUCUCCACACAUAAAAACUUCAGAGUUCAUAAAUAAUCAGCUGCCCAAAAGUGCCACUUAAACAGCCCUUUAAUCAUAUUAAGUGUCAAAAGUGUCAGAACAAGAAAGCAGAAGUCAUUUUAAAAAAAUAAUCACAUUUAACAAUAAGAUCUGCACAAAACUGUGGAGGUAAAAGAUUGAUAAAUGAGAAGCAGGAGGAUGGUGAUGCAAGAAUAGUAAUCAAUCAUCACUGAAAUGACUGCAUUUCGCACAGAAAAGUCUUUGCAGACUUCCAUGCAGUAGCAAGGCCCUACAACACGAUGUUCACAGGAACUCAUUAGGAACUUGUCUUCUCCCUUCUCUGUAAUCCAGCACUGUUUAACAUACAUCCUACUGUGAACACUUCAAAC